GAAGCCACGCCCGGACGGGGAAGUGGGAUGGCGGGAUUGAACGCAUAGGAGACGUGAGAAGGCGUGUACAUCCAACUACUUCCUUGUGACGAGAGUGGAGAGCAAAGAGAAGUUGAGUACCUUUUAUAUCAAGUGGGAGGGGGAAGUGGAACAUUGCAUUAUGGGGCAUGUAGUUUAAAUAGAACAUGUUAUAUUGAUGAUGUUUAUUCCAGAUUAAAACAUUCUGGUAUUUCAUCUCAACAAUACCCCUUCUAAUAUCAGAUUGGUUUAAUCAAAAUAAUUACAAGUACUGUAACUAUAAUACACUAUUUAUAUAUUUACACAUAGUCUCUUUGUUAAAUAAAUAUGCUGAUUUGAUGGGAGUGGUUUAAUUAAUAUAUCUGCGGUUUGUUCUUUCGUUUUACAAUGUACCACCUUUAUAAAUCCCAUUUCUGAUAACUGUCUCACAUGUUUAUAUUUAAUGUCUAUAUGUCUGGAUCUUUGAUCAAUUGCGUCAUCUUUAGAUAUGUCAAUGGUGGCUUUGUUGUCUUCCCGUAUGAUUAUUGGAUAUGCAGGCUCUUUCCAAAUGUCUAUCAUUAAAUCAUCGAACCAUAUUAAAUUGUUCGCCGCUUUCGACAAACAUACAAACUCUGCCUCUGUAGUUGAUGUUGAUACAAGCUUUUGUUUUCCUGUGUACCAAUGUAUUGGGCUUUCAUUUAAAUAUAUGACAUAACCUGAGGUGCUUUUUCUCAUUUUAUUGUCACUAGCCCAAUCCACAUCUGCAUAACAUGAGAGUAUUGGUGACUUGGAUAUCUUUGGGCAGCUGCGGAGAGAGCUGAUAACUGUCAAGGUCAACCAUCCCAGCAUACCAGAUAGAUGGGACCGCCUAAAGAAGUACACCACAUAACACCUUGGGGAGAUGUGGAUUGGACAUUCAACCUGGGACUGUGUGUGGAGGGGUUUGGGGGAUGCUUUCAAUAUGUAAUUUUCACGCCUAUUGCCUCAGACUUUGCUUUUCUUUCACUGCAUUCAGCUCAUACUCAGUAAAAAUACCUUUCUGUACAAACAUGGAGUUGGGGUUUUUCUUUCUUGAGUUUUGGAUGGAAGCAAGCCUGACAGUGGGGGAGGUUGAGCUGAACUGUCACUGGGUUAAUUACUUUCAUUAUUGGAAAUGGACCUAAAAAUUUAGGUCCUAACUUUUUGCUAGGCAGCCUUAGUCUUAUGUAUUUUGUUGACAGAUAAACCCGAUCUUCCACAUGAAAAGGGGGUUGAAGAGAUCGAUGUUUAUCUGCUUGCUUUUUGUAUGUUUCAGCAGCUUCCGCUAGUUCCUUGGUAUU